GUUGAGAUGACCGAGUUGGUCUAAGGUGCCAGAUUAAUUCAAAAGGGCGCGGAGUUCAAGUCCCACUCUUAACA
rnacentral:tRNA from 1 species